rnacentral:rRNA from 1 species
ACUCCUACGGGAGGCAGCAGUGGGGAAUUUUGGACAAUGGGCGAAAGCCUGAUCCAGCAAUGCCGCGUGUGUGAAGAAGGCCUUCGGGUUGUAAAGCACUUUUGUCCGGAAAGAAAUCCUUGGCUCUAAUACAGUCGGGGGAUGACGGUACCGGAAGAAUAAGCACCGGCUAACUACGUGCCAGCAGCCGCGGUAAUACGUAGGGUGCGAGCGUUAAUCGGAAUUACUGGGCGUAAAGCGUGCGCAGGCGGUUUGCUAAGACCGAUGUGAAAUCCCCAGGCUCAACCUGGGAACUGCAUUGGUGACUGGCAGGCUAGAGUAUGGCAGAGGGGGGUAGAAUUCCACGUGUAGCAGUGAAAUGCGUAGAGAUGUGGAGGAAUACCGAUGGCGAAGGCAGCCCCCUGGGCCAAUACUGACGCUCAUGCACGAAAGCGUGGGGAGCAAACAGGAUUAGAAACCCUGGUAGUCCC